rnacentral:rRNA from 1 species
CGGCGUGCCUAAUACAUGCAAGUCGAACGGUCUUUCUAUGGAAGCUUGCUUCCACUGAGAAGAUAGUGGCGAACGGGUGAGUAACACGUGGGUAACCUGCCCAUAAGAGGGGGAUAACAUCCGGAAACGGGUGCUAAUACCGCAUAGUUUUCUUGAUCGCAUGAUUGAGAAAGGAAAGACGGCCUUUGUGCUGUCGCUUAUGGAUGGACCCGCGGCGUAUUAGUUAGUUGGUGAGGUAACGGCUCACCAAGACGAUGAUACGUAGCCGACCUGAGAGGGUGAUCGGCCACAUUGGGACUGAGACACGGCCCAAACUCCUACGGGAGGCAGCAGUAGGGAAUCUUCCGCAAUGGACGAAAGUCUGACGGAGCAACGCCGCGCGAGUGAAGAAAAGGUUUUCGGAUCGUAAAACUCUGUUGUCAGAGAAGAACAAGUUGGAGAGUAACUGCUCCAGCCUUGACGGUAUCUGACCAGAAAGCCACGGCUAACUACGUGCCAGCCGCCGC